rnacentral:misc_RNA from 1 species
CAGAGUUGCAAAACUCCCACAAACCAUCGCGGAUCUUACCCGUACGGUUGCCUCGGCGCUGGCGGUCCGGAAGGCCCUCGGGCCCCCCGGAUCCUCGGGUCUCCCGCUCGCGGGAGGCUGCCCGCCGGAGUGCCGAAACCAAACUCUUGAUAUUUUAUGUCUCUCUGAGUAAACUUUUAAAUAAGUCA